UCAUUGGAGCUUCCCGGACCGUGUGCUCGACGGUGCCCUAGGUGCCGUGGGGCCACACGCGAGUCUGAUAAGCACCCUCCCCCGGAAUCAUGCGGUGCUGUGAGGCCUAGCGAAGAUGAAGAUAGAAUGCAAGGUAGAAAGUGCUGGAUACCUUUAGAAAGCUGCAGGACUGGUGCGAUGGGAGUUGAGACGUAAGAACCUGCCCGUCCGUAGGGCUCUGGAUGCUGCUGAGGCCCGAGGCCCCUAUGGCAGAUUUGAAAAUUCACCCUUGUAGAGUCAUUCCUGCCUUUGAGCGGACUCCCUUUUAAGCAGAUCUCAAGAGAGCGUUCGGUGGAGGCCCUGGGUCUGCACAGCUCACCUCCCUGGGAACUGCUCGCCCGAGCGUCGGAGCCGGCGCUGGCCCCCUGCAGCCGGAAGGUUGCAGCCGCAGGAGCCCCGGAGGCCCAGGACACAGGGGAAGGAACAGAAGAGUGUCGUCUCCUAGAAAUCUAGCACUGGAGAAACGAGGAAAAUUCUUCCAGCGAUGGUCUCCCACUCAGAGCUGAGGAAGCUUUU
rnacentral:lncRNA from 1 species